rnacentral:rRNA from 1 species
GAUUAACGCUGGCGGCGUGCCUAACACAUGCAAGUCGAGCGGCAGCGAGUUUUACACUGAAUUCUGGAAGCUUCUAGUUGAAAGAGAAGAUUUAUUCAAGAAUUUUGUGUAAAAUGUCGGCGAGCGGCGGACGGCUGAGUAACGCGUGGGAACGUACCCCAAAGUGAGGGAUAACGCAUCGAAAGGUGUGCUAAUACCGCAUAUGGUCUUCGGAUUAAAGCCUUCGGGCGCUUUGGGAACGGCCUGCGUAAGAUUAGAUAGUUGGUGGGGUAAUGGCCUACCAAGUCGACGAUCUUUAACUGGUUUGAGAGGAUGAUCAGUCAGACUGGAACUGAGACACGGCCCAGACUCCUACGGGAGGCAGCAGUGAGGAAUCUUCCACAAUGGGCGAAAGCCUGAUGGAGCAACGCCGCGUGCAGGAUGAAGGCCUUCGGGUUGUAAACUGCUUUUAUAAGUGAGGAUUAUGACAGUAACUUAUGAAUAAGGAUCGGCUAACUACGUG